rnacentral:misc_RNA from 1 species
GAUGAAGAACGUAGCGAAAUGCGAUACGUAAUGUGAAUUGCAGAAUUCAGUGAAUCAUCGAAUCUUUGAACGCACAUUGCACUCUCUGGUAUUCCGGAGAGUAUGCUUGUUUGAGUAUCUGUAAACAUCUCAAAUCUCUCUUCAAUUGCUUCAAUUGGGUCGAGAGAAUUGGAUUUGAGCGAUCCCGACUCCUUCGUCAGAAAGAGGAGGGUCGCUUGAAAUGCAGGUGCAGCUGGACAUUCUUCUGAGAAAAAAGCAUAUCUAUUUAGUCCCGUCAAACGGAUUAUUACUUUUGCUUCAGCUAAUAUAAAGGUUGAAUGAACUACCAACGCUGAUUGCAGGAAAACAUGUUCGUUUAUUCGGACUUGUAAACUCGAUCUCAAAUCAAGUAAGACUACCCGCUGAGCUUAAGCAUAUCAAUAAGCGGAGGA